rnacentral:rRNA from 1 species
UACGGGGGGGAGCAAGCGUUGUUCGGAUUUACUGGGCGUAAAGGGCGCGUAGGCGGCCUCCGCAAGUCAGUUGUGAAAUCUCCGAGCUUAACUCGGAAAGGUCAACUGAUACUGCGGGGCUAGAGUGCGGAAGGGGCAACUGGAAUUCUUGGUGUAGCGGUGAAAUGCGUAGAUAUCAAGAGGAACACCUGCGGCGAAGGCGGGUUGCUGGGCCGACACUGACGCUGAGGCGCGAAAGCUAGGGGAGCGAACGGG